rnacentral:rRNA from 1 species
UACAGAGGGGGCAAGCGUUGUUCGGAAUUACUGGGCGUAAAGGGCGCGUAGGCGGCCUGCUAAGUCGAACGUGAAAUCCCUGGGCUCAACCCAGGAACUGCGUCCGAUACUGGUUGGCUUGAAUCCGGGAGAGGGAUGCGGAAUUCCAGGUGUAGCGGUGAAAUGCGUAGAUAUCUGGAGGAACACCGGUGGCGAAGGCGGCAUCCUGGACCGGCACUGACACUGAGGAGCGAAAGCCAGGGGAGCAAACGGG